UACGAAGGGGGCUAGCGUUGUUCGGAAUUACUGGGCGUAAAGCGUGCGCAGGCGGCUUCUCAAGUCAGGGGUGAAAGCCCAGAGCUCAACUCUGGAAUUGCCUUUGAGACUGAGUGGCUUGAGUACGAGAGAGGUGAGUGGAAUUCCCAGUGUAGAGGUGAAAUUCGUAGAUAUUGGGAAGAACACCGGUGGCGAAGGCGGCUCACUGGCUCGUGACUGACGCUCAUGCACGACAGCGUGGGGAUCAAACAGG
rnacentral:rRNA from 1 species